AGCGGGGGCUUCGGCCUGCCGGCGAGUGGCGAACGGGUGAGUAAUGCAUCGGAACGUGCCCAUGUCGUGGGGAUAACGUAGCGAAAGCUACGCUAAUACCGCAUACGCCCUGAGGGGGAAAGCGGGGGAUUCUUCGGAACCUCGCGCGAUUGGAGCGGCCGAUGUCGGAUUAGCUAGUAGGUGAGGUAAAAGGCUCACCUAGGCGACGAUCCGUAGCGGGUCUGAGAGGAUGAUCCGCCACACUGGGACUGAGACACGGCCCAGACUCCUACGGGAGGCAGCAGUGGGGAAUUUUGGACAAUGGGCGCAAGCCUGAUCCAGCCAUGCCGCGUGAGUGAAGAAGGCCUUCGGGUUGUAAAGCUCUUUCGGCCGGGAAGAAAUCGUGGUCUCUAACAUAGGCCAUGGAUGACGGUACCGGACUAAGAAGCACCGGCUAACUACGUGCCAGCAGCCGCGGUAAUACGUAGGGUGCGAGCGUUAAUCGGAAUUACUGGGCGUAAAGCGUGCGCAGGCGGUU
rnacentral:rRNA from 1 species